GUGAAUCAUCGAAUUUUUGAACGCAAAUUGCGCUUCCUGGCAUCCCGGGAAGUAUGCCUGUUUGAGGGUCAGUAUUAACAAAAAUCGGGUUGGUUGCCAAUUGUUACGUUUCCGGAGUUUGGGGCAUCUUUACUUUUUUGGUUAAGGGGCCUUAAAUUGACCUUUUUUGCGCCUUUUUUGAACUAACUUAAUUUUUUUUUUAUUCGUCUAUUCUUAAUUCCAAAAUCUUAUUUGAUUCGAUCACAUCGUGUGGUUUCGUGUCCAUAAAAUUUUCAUGAUUUGACC
rnacentral:misc_RNA from 1 species